rnacentral:rRNA from 1 species
GACGAACGCUGGCGGCGUGCCUAAUACAUGCAAGUCGAACGCUGAAGGAGGAGCUUGCUCUUCUGGAUGAGUUGCGAACGGGUGAGUAACGCGUAGGUAACCUGCCUGGUAGCGGGGGAUAACAAUUGGAAACGAUAGCUCAUACCGCAUAAGAGUAUAUGUUGCAUGACAUUUGCUAAAAAGAUGCAAUUGCAUCACUACCAGAUGAACCUGCGUUGUAUUAGCUAGUUGUUGGGGUAACGGCUCACCACGGGGACGAAACAUGGCAGACCUGGAGGGGGAUCCGGCACACUGGGAAUGGGACACGGGCCAGACUCCUACGGGAGGCAGCAGGAAGGAAUCCUCGGGAAUGGAGGGAAGUCUGACCGGGGCACGCCGCGGGAGUGAAGAAGGGUCUCGGAUCGGAAAGAUCUGUUGUAAGAGAAGAACGAGUGUGGGAGUGGAAAGUGCACACCGUGACGGUACCUUACCAGAAAGGGACGGCUAACUACGUG